rnacentral:rRNA from 1 species
UACGGAGGGGGCAAGCGUUAUUCGGAAUUAUUGGGCGUAAAGGGCGCGUAGGCGGCGGUACAAGUCAAAGGUGAAAUCCCUCGGCUCAACUGAGGAACUGCCUUUGAAACUGUACGGCUUGAGGCCGGGAGGGGGUAGCGGAAUUCCCAGUGUAGCGGUGAAAUGCGUAGAUAUUGGGAGGAACACCAGUGGCGAAGGCGGCUACCUGGACCGGUUCUGACGCUGAUGCGCGAAAGCGUGGGUAGCAAACAGG